rnacentral:rRNA from 1 species
AUGCGCACCGGGCCGACGGGCUGGAGGCUCAGCAAUGGGGGAGUGCCCAUUCCCCCGUUUCCCGACGCCGUCACCAAGCAAUCGUACUUCGCCGACGAGGUCGAGAUCGCGCGCACUUCUCUCACCGACGCCGAGCGCUCCCUUCCCCAGUACGCCGCCGACAACAACGCAGCAUGGGCGGCGUACUUCGAGCGCCGCCAGCAGCAACGGCUGGCGUCCACCAACGGGGCGCCGGUGGUUGGCGGCACCAAGAACAGCGAGGGGCGCCACCUCUGGUGGGGCGUCCCCGGCCGCACCCUCGACGGCGUGCUGGCGCACCUCGAGGGCGGCAACAACCCACCAUUGGCGUACCCCCCAGCGAGGACGGCCACCCUGACGCACCGCCGAUGCGACGGGCAAUGGGCGCCGAGGAGGUUCGGCUCCUCCUCCUCAUCUUCCUCGUCGCGUUCUUCCUCCCACUCCUCUGGCACUCCAUCGCUGCUCGGCGUCAAGGCCGAGCCCGCGUCGGAGACGCCGCUCGGCCGGCGCACACGCAGCGCCGGCAUCUUCAUCAGCAAGGGCGGCCGGCGCGCCUCCUCGUCGGCUCCUCCCCCGCGCUUCGUCAAGCCGAAGACGGAGCCGGGUCUCGCGUCGGUGAAGACGGAGCCGGGGCUGGCUCCGGUGAAGACGAAACCGGGGCUGCUGGCGCCGGUGAAGGCGGAGCACGGCGAGGUCGAGCUCGACGACGACGCGGCCCUUGAAUGGGCACGCCAAGACUCCCUGAAGAUGGCGAGGGAGCGCCAGCGCGCCGCCCUAGAGCGCUUCGUGCAACGCCCGCGAGGCCGUGACGAAGGCGGCGGCGUCAUCAUCGACGACAGCGACAACGACGACGAUGCGCCGCCGACGCCGCCACCAACGCGCGAGUCAAGGAGGAGAAGGCCGACGAUGGCGGCGACGACGGCGACUUCU